UGGGGAAUUUUGGACAAUGGGCGCAAGCCUGAUCCAGCCAUUCCGCGUGAGUGAAGAAGGCCUUCGGGUUGUAAAGCUCUUUCGCAAGGGAAGAAAACUUAUCCUCUAACAUAGGAUGAGGUUGACGGUACCUUGAUAAGAAGCACCGGCUAACUACGUGCCAGCAGCCGCGGUAAUACGUAGGGUGCGAGCGUUAAUCGGAAUUACUGGGCGUAAAGCGUGCGCAGGCGGUUUUGUAAGUCAGAUGUGAAAUCCCCGAGCUCAACUUGGGAACUGCGUUUGAAACUACAAGACUAGAAUAUGUCAGAGGGGGGUAGAAUUCCACGUGUAGCAGUGAAAUGCGUAGAGAUGUGGAGGAAUACCAAUGGCGAAGGCAGCCCCCUGGGAUAAUAUUGACGCUCAUGCACGAAAGCGUG
rnacentral:rRNA from 1 species